UUUGGCUGUUCGCUAAACAUAUAUGUACAUUAGCCUAAUCCCAAAGGGAUCAAAACUACAUUGAGAGCGCACUCUCGAAGAAACUAGUGAAACUAUGAGCGCGAACGCCCGGCGCUGCUCUUGGGCCGUCUGCCUCCCAGGUGACUCCACCGCGGAGCUUGAAGCCACCUGCUUCGCCUCGCCACUCCUCCACUCGAUCACAAUGAUGCCAAGCCAGACGAACACCAUGUCGAUCUAGCUCGACGUCGUCGCAGCCAAGCGGUCCAACUCGAGCACGAUGACCCAGCGUCGCUCAUGGGUCACUCGCCUCCAAGGUGACUCCACUGCACAAGCUGAAGCCACCUGUUACGCCCCAAGACGUGAUGCUGUGUCUUGGAGCGCCUACCUCCCCAGUGUACUUCCAGCACUAAGUCGGUGCCCAUUACGAACAAACUCCAAGGCGUAGAACAAGCGAGGUGUGAGCCUCCUCCAGCUCUAGACUAGAGCGUGCUACCUUGCCUCCCAC
rnacentral:lncRNA from 1 species